rnacentral:rRNA from 1 species
AGUGGCAGACGGGUGAGUAACGCGUGGGAAUAUCCCUCUUGGUUCGGAACAACUCCGGGAAACUGGAGCUAAUACCGGAUACGUCCUUCGGGAGAAAGAUUUAUCGCCGAGAGAUUAGCCCGCGUUGGAUUAGCUAGUUGGUGAGGUAACGGCCCACCAAGGCGACGAUCCAUAGCUGGUUUGAGAGAACGACCAGCCACACUGGGACUGAGACACGGCCCAGACUCCUACGGGAGGCAGCAGUGGGGAAUCUUGGACAAUGGGCGCAAGCCUGAUCCAGCCAUGCCGCGUGAGUGAAGAAGGCCUUAGGGUUGUAAAGCUCUUUCGCCGACGAAGAUAAUGACGGUAGUCGGAGAAGAAGCCCCGGCUAACUUCGUGCC